UACAGAGGUCUCAAGCGUUGUUCGGAUUCAUUGGGCGUAAAGGGUGCGUAGGCGGCGCGGUAAGUCGGGUGUGAAAUCUCGGAGCUUAACUCCGAAACUGCAUUCGAUACUGCCGUGCUUGAGGACUGGAGAGGAGACUGGAAUUUACGGUGUAGCGGUGAAAUGCGUGGAUAUCGAGAAGAACACGUAGGGCGAAAGCAAGACUCUGGACAAGUGUUGACGCUCAUGCACGAAGGCUAGGGUAGCGAACGGG
rnacentral:rRNA from 1 species